GACGAACGCUGGCGGCGUGCUUAACACAUGCAAGUCGAACGAUGAUGCCCAGCUUGCUGGGUGGAUUAGUGGCGAACGGGUGAGUAACACGUGAGUAACCUGCCCCUGACUCUGGGAUAAGCGUUGGAAACGACGUCUAAUACUGGAUAUGAUCGCCGGCCGCAUGGUCUGGUGGUGGAAAGAUUUUUUGGUUGGGGAUGGACUCGCGGCCUAUCAGCUUGUUGGUGAGGUAAUGGCUCACCAAGGCGACGACGGGUAGCCGGCCUGAGAGGGUGACCGGCCACACUGGGACUGAGACACGGCCCAGACUCCUACGGGAGGCAGCAGUGGGGAAUAUUGCACAAUGGGCGAAAGCCUGAUGCAGCAACGCCGCGUGAGGGAUGACGGCCUUCGGGUUGUAAACCUCUUUUAGUAGGGAAGAAGCGAAAGUGACGGUACCUGCAGAAAAAGCACCGGCUAACUACGUGCCAGCAGCCGCCGCCG
rnacentral:rRNA from 1 species